GACGAACGCUGGCGGCGUGCUUAACACAUGCAAGUCGAACGCUGAAGCUCAGCUUUUGUUGGGUGGAUGAGUGGCGAACGGGUGAGUAACACGUGAGUAACCUGCCUCCUUCUUUGGGAUAACGCCCGGAAACGGGUGCUAAUACUGGAUAUUCACUGGUCUUCGCAUGGGGGUUGGUGGAAAGGGUUUUUCUGGUGGGGGAUGGGCUCGCGGCCUAUCAGCUUGUUGGUGGGGUGAUGGCCUACCAAGGCUUUGACGGGUAGCCGGCCUGAGAGGGUGACCGGUCACAGUGGGACUGAGAUACGGCCCAGACUACUACGGGGGGCAGCAGUGGGGAAUAUUGCACAAUGGGCGCAAGCCUGAUGCAGCGACGCCGCGUGAGGGAUGGAGGCCUUCGGGUUGUGAACCUCUGUCGCUCAUGGUCAAGCCGCAACAAUGGUUGUGGUGAGGGUAGUGGGUAAAGAAGCGCCGGCUAACUACGUG
rnacentral:rRNA from 1 species